CACGAAUAAAAAAUAUACAAUUCCAGGUGAUACGACAGGAAUUGGUGGACGCAAGACAAAGCUUAUUCAGCGAAAUAUUUUGGAUGUAACAAGUUCUAAAGAGCACCAAAAAGAAUCUUGGAGAGAAGGAAGAAAAUCAAGUUUACUUCCACAGAACAUCCAGGUAUUAUAUAUUGUAGUGAACUAAUUACAACAACUUUUUGUCAAAAACAAAAUAGGAAACAAAGAUAUACAUUUCACCUGGCCACUUCGGCCAUACUUCUUCCGCAUGUGUAUAGGGUUGGUUAGGUAGUUGGGAACACUGAAAUGUAUACAGUACAUGCAUGCAUGCGUGGAGAAUCAAUUGUGGCUCAAAAAGUAAAGGCAAACAGGGGAAGAUCAUGAAGGUAUUGUUGCAUGCAUGGGUGUCGGUUUCACUCGAUCUUCUAUGGAAUUUAAAUAGUUAUAUGAGUGGGUUGUCAUGUACAGUCAUGUUUAUUUUCCAAACCAGCUUGACAUGUGUUUUACAACAUUAAUAUUUAUCACAUGCGACGUUCAGAUUAUGAACCUAACCAUGUACGGGAGUGAGGUUUGUAAUGCUUAAAUCACCGAUAUUUAACAAUUAUUUGUCGAAGUGGUGGCGCAUAUUCACCGAAAUGCGAAAUGUUGAGCUGUUUUAGCAUAUAUAUAGCCAUGUACCAUGCAUAACAAAACAAGAAUGACCAAAAACAGCAAAAGAAUAAGCGAGAUAAUAAAGAGAGAAUAAGCGGUUUGAAAUUAUGUCAAUGGUUUCAUCUACAGGAAUGUUGGUAAAUAAGGAAGUCACAUCAAAGCUUGCCAUGACAACGUUGUUGGAAUCGAAAUUGAGGCUGAAUAAUUCCUGGACAAACGAGAAAGAAUCCUUAACCAUAUAAGCACUUGACGAAAUGGGAUUGAGGAGAGGGAUAAAAUAUUUAGCGAUUUUACAGGAAUAAUUGUUUAUACAACAAAGAAUAGGCCUAAGUGGUAUAUUGUCCUUGUGGAUUUUAGGUAGUACGAAUAAAAUUCCUACCCGAGAACCAGGCGGAUAUAGUUUUUCAUAGGUUGCUUGCGUGAUUGAUUCUGAUUUCUUUAACGUCGACAGGAACCUCAUGACUUUGUUCUCGCUUUGUAACGUCAGUUUUACCAGGUCUUCGUCUAGGCGUUGAAAUUUGGUUUCAUCUUCCAGUAUGGCUUCCAUUUUCUUGUAGUCGUCCUUGUCAAGAAUAACUACCCCAUUCUCUUUAUCUGGUUUGACAAUCACAAUGUUAGUAUCGUAUGUCAUUGUUCUGAAGAUGUCUUAAGUUAAAAACGAAACGUUAGCUUUCUAAUAAAUAUUUGCUGCCGCAGCGAGCGAGCCUGAAGCGAGCGAGCAAGGCAGCAGAUCCUAAUUUUGUUUUGUGG